UACGGAGGAUGCGAGCGUUGUCCGGAAUUACUGGGCGUAAAGGGCAGGCAGGCGGAUCCAUAAGUUUAUCGUUUAAGGCGUCGGCUUAACCGGCGUAGGGCGGUAGAUACUGUGGAUCUGGAAUGCGGUUGGGGAAGACAGAAUUCCUGGUGUAGCGGUGGAAUGCGCAGAGAUCAGGAGGAAUACCGAAGGCGAAGGCAGUCUUCCAAGCCGUUAUUGACGCUCAACUGCGAAGGUGUGGGUAUCAAACAGGAUUAGAUACCCUGGUAGU
rnacentral:rRNA from 1 species